rnacentral:rRNA from 2 species
AUACAUGCAAGUCGAGCGGACAUUUGAGAGCUUGCUCUCAAAUGUUAGCGGCGGACGGGUGAGUAACACGUGGGUAACCUGCCUGUAAGAUUGGGAUAACUCCGGGAAACCGGAGCUAAUACCGGAUAACAUUUUGAACCGCAUGGUUCGAAAUUGAAAGAUGGCCUUUGGCUAUCACUUACAGAUGGACCCGCGGCGCAUUAGCUAGUUGGUGAGGUAAUGGCUCACCAAGGCGACGAUGCGUAGCCGACCUGAGAGGGUGAUCGGCCACACUGGGACUGAGACACGGCCCAGACUCCUACGGGAGGCAGCAGUAGGGAAUCUUCCGCAAUGGACGAAAGUCUGACGGAGCAACGCCGCGUGAACGAUGAAGGCCUUCGGGUCGUAAAGUUCUGUUGUUAGGGAAGAACAAGUACCAGAGUAACUGCUGGUACCUUGACGGUACCUAACCAGAAAGCCACGGCUAACUACGUGCCAGCAGCCGCGGUAAUACGUAGGUGGCAAGCGUUGUCCGGAAUUAUUGGGCGUAAAGCGCGCGCAGGCGGUUUUUUAAGUCUGAUGUGAAAGCCCACGGCUCAACCGUGGAGGGUCAUUGGAAACUGGAGAACUUGAGUGCAGAAGAGGAGAGCGGAAUUCCACGUGUAGCGGUGAAAUGCGUAGAGAUGUGGAGGAACACCAGUGGCGAAGGCGGCUCUCUGGUCUGUAACUGACGCUGAGGCGCGAAAGCGUGGGGAGCAAACAGGA